rnacentral:tRNA from 1 species
ACCCAGCUGGCUCAGUUGGUGGAGCAUGUGACUCUUAAUCUCAGGGUUGUAAGUUUGAGCCCCAUGUUGAGUG